AGUGAACGCUGGCGGUAGGCCUAACACAUGCAAGUCGAACGGCAGCACAGUAAGAGCUUGCUCUUACGGGUGGCGAGUGGCGGACGGGCGAGGAAUACAUCGGAAUCUACUUUUUCGUGGGGGAUAACGUAGGGAAACAUACGCUAAUACCGCAUACGACCUACGGGUGAAAGCAGGGGAUCUUCGGACCUUGCGCGAUUGAAUGAGCCGAUGUCGGAUUAGCUAGUUGGCGGGGUAAAGGCCCACCAAGGCGACGAUCCGUAGCUGGUCUGAGAGGAUGAUCAGCCACACUGGAACUGAGACACGGUCCAGACUCCUACGGGAGGCAGCAGUGGGGAAUAUUGGACAAUGGGCGCAAGCCUGAUCCGGCCAUACCGCGUGGGUGAAGAAGGCCUUCGGGUUGUAAAGCCCUUUUGUUGGGAAAGAAAAGCAGCAGGUUAAUACCCCGCUGUUCUGACGGUACCCAAAGAAUAAGCACCGGCUAACUUCGUG
rnacentral:rRNA from 1 species